ACUGGAAGCUGCUGGGACCACUCAUGGGCAAAAGUCAUGUGUUUUUGUCCUCUGUUGCAGUCUUCCUAGAGCAAAGUGGAGGUCUCUGUCUGCUUUAGGAGAGCCAACUAAGCCAGAUCGUUCCCCUCCAUACAUG
rnacentral:snoRNA from 1 species